rnacentral:rRNA from 1 species
GACGAACGCUGGCGGCGUGCUUAACACAUGCAAGUCGAGCGAACAAAGCUCCUUCGGGAGUGGAGUUAGCGGCGGACGGGUGAGUAACACGUGGGUAACCUGCCUUAUAGAGGGGGAUAGCCUUCCGAAAGGAAGAUUAAUACCGCAUAAGAAGUAGAAGUCGCAUGGCUUUAGCUUUAAAGGAGCAAUCCGCUAUAAGAUGGACCCGCGGCGCAUUAGCUAGUUGGUGAGGUAACGGCUCACCAAGGCGACGAUGCGUAGCCGACCUGAGAGGGUGAUCGGCCACAUUGGAACUGAGAUACGGCCCAGACUCCUACGGGAGGCAGCAGUGGGGAAUAUUGGGCAAUGGGCGCAAGCCUGACCCAGCAACGCCGCGUGAAGGAAGAAAGGGCUUUCGGGUUGUAAACUUCUUUUGUUCGAGGAAGAGUAGAAGACUGUACUCGGCGAAUAAGCCACGGCUAACUACGUG